AAUCAGCGAGACUCCGUGGGCGUAGGACCCUCCGAGCCAGGUGCGGGAUAUAAUCUCGUGGUGCGACGCUUUUUAAGCCCUUCAGAAAAGCGCAGUGUUCGGGUGGGAGUGACCCGAUUUUCCAGGUGCCGCCCGUCACCCCUUUCUUUGACUCAGAAAGGGAACUCCCUGACCCCUUGCGCUUCCCAAGUGAGGCAAUGCCUCGCCCUGCUUCGGCUCGCGCACGGUGCGCGCACCCGCUGACCUGCACCCACUGUCUGGCACUCCUUAGUGAGAUGAACCCGGUACCUCAGAUGGAAAUGCAGAAAUCACCCGUCUUCUGCGUCGCUCACGCUGGGAGCUGUAGACCGGAGCUGUUCCUAUUCGGCCAUCUUGGCUCCUCCUGUAACAAUUUCUUGAGAUGAAGAUCCUGAAUACCAAAGAGGGCCGCUGACAGGUCUAGGAGUACACUUCUAGCACCUAGCAGAGAGAGGCUUCACUACAUCAUGCUUCCUGACAUCUCUCCCUUUGAAGAGCAGUCAGACUCCUGCUUUGCUCUUCAGACUUAAUUUGGGGGUUUAACAGCCAUGUGAAGUGCUCACUCCCCCUUUGCCUUCUGCCAUGAUUGUGUGUUUCCUGAGGCCUCCCCAGAAGCUGAGAAGAUGCUUCCUGUACAGCCUGCAGAACUGGAUAGCCCAGAGCUAUUCCAUGUAUUCCAUGGAUGGGCACAUUUGGAAGUUUGGUUCUAAAAUCUAAAAGAAGAAAUUUAAGUGUGCUGAAGAUAACUGCAACUCCAAACCUAACGCUGUGUAAUUCUAUGUUCUGCCAUUUUGAAGCAAAGUGGAACCAGAAGUGAGAGGACUAUUUCUAGGUCAUGCUACGGUUACCCUGACCCCAGUCACUCCCUAUGCUGGUCCAUCCAAACUCAGAGCCACGAUCAAGGCCCUUCUACAACACAGAUGUGAUUACUUCACUCUCUUUUGUGGGGUAAAUAUAAGCCAAGAGCCAAGCAGGUGCACUGUGGAGGAAGGGAGAAUGCAAGAAGAAAAAAAGAAAGCCCGCCAGGCGCGGUGGCUCACGCCUGCAAUCCCAGCACUUUGGGAGGCCAAGGUGGGCGGAUCAUGAGGUCAAGAGAUCAAGACCAUCCUGGCCAACAUGGUGAAACCCCAUCUCUACUAAAAAUACAAAAAUUAGCUGGGUGUGAUGCCGGUAGUCCUUGUAGCACCUGUAGCUACUCGGGAGGCUGAGGCAGGAGAAUCACUUGAACCCGGGGGCAGAGGUUGCAGUGAGCCGAGAUCGCUCCACUGCACUCUAGCCUGGUGACAGAGGAAGACUCCGUCUCAAAAAAAAAAGAAAAAGAAAGCCUAGGAGACAUGUACAAACUUGUAGGCAUUUGAGAAGUUAUGUUCAUUUGAUUAAAAUCAGAAAGACACAACUCGGAAAAUGUAAAAUACAGAUGAAAAAAUGAAAGCAAUCAUCUUCUUAAACUUAUAAAGAUCUUAAACUCAUUUCUCUGGCUUUAAAAGAAGAGCAUCAGUAUGGAGAAGCUAAGGGGAUGGCAUAUCUGAGCCCUUGUUGGGAAAACUCUUAAUCGCCUGCAGGUUUAGGACCAAGCAGGGCAUAUAAGCCACUUCAUGGUUUGGCCCCUUCCUUCUUCUCUGUUGCCUAACAAUUUUAACUUCACCAAUAUUAAACUAAUUGCAGUUUUCCAAACCUAUCCUACUAUUUUACCCUUUGAUGAUUUUCUGCCUGCCUUUUUCUUUGUUGAGAAUUUCCUUACUUUCUAUCUAUCUUUGCCUGACAAACUGAUUGAUUCUCCAAAGUGCAACUCAAGUAUUACCUCAUUUCUGAGGAUCAUUCCUUCAUCCCUUCAAGUUCCUUCUUCUGUGUCAUCAUUAACUUUCUAUGUGUGGUUUUAAUGUACUUCAAGUAAUGUCUUAUACUUAUUUUCUCAUGGCUAUUGUUCCCUUUCAGACUUGAUAAGUCCUCAAGGAGAGAAUCUAUGUCUUUUAAAAAAAUCUUGAUAUUUCCUUACAGAGGUCCUGGCACAAAAUAGAUACCCAAUAUAUGUGCAACUGAAUAGAAAUUUAUGAGGGAGUGAUAAUUAUCCGUGUCUUCCUUUCAGCUAUGACUGUGUCCCAUGAUAAAAGUUUUUUGGAUGAUGA
rnacentral:lncRNA from 1 species